CUCCAUCUUAUCUCCUGUUUCCUGCACUUCUCAGAUUACUGAGCUUGACCAAUGUCCUCAAGUGUACAAGGGUUUAAAUGAAGAUUUUGAGAUGAGAAAAUUAUCCUGGAUUAUUCAGGUGGGUCCUAAAUACCAUCACAAGUGUCCUUACAAGGAAGAGGCAGCAGGAGAUGGGACACACAGUAAAGGUGAUAAUGAAGAUGGAGGUGGAGAUUGGAGGGAUGCGGCCACAAGCCAAUGAAUGCCUGCAGCUACCAGAAGCCACAGAGAGCUCCGCUAGAGCCUCUGGAGGGAGCUUGGCCCUGUCAACACCUUGAUUUGAACCCAGUGAAACAAAUUUCCAACUUCUGUCCUCCUGGACUGUGAAGUAAUAAAUUUCUGUUUUUUUAAGCUACC
rnacentral:lncRNA from 10 species